GACGAACGCUGGCGGCGUGCCUAAUACAUGCAAGUAGAACGCUGAAACUUGGUGCUUGCACCGAGCGGAUGAGUUGCGAACGGGUGAGUAACGCGUAGGUAACCUGCCUGGUAGCGGGGGAUAACUAUUGGAAACGAUAGCUAAUACCGCAUAAGAGUAGAUGUUGCAUGACAUUUGCUUAAAAGGUGCAAUUGCACCACUACCAGAUGGACCUGCGUUGUAUUAGCUAGUUGGUGGGGUAACGGCUCACCAAGGCGACGAUACAUAGCCGACCUGAGAGGGUGAUCGGCCACACUGGGACUGAGACACGGCCCAGACUCCUACGGGAGGCAGCAGUAGGGAAUCUUCGGCAAUGGACGGAAGUCUGACCGAGCAACGCCGCGUGAGUGAAGAAGGUUCUCGGAUCGUAAAGCUCUGUUGUAAGAGAAGAACGAGUGUGAGAGUGGAAAGUUCACACUGUGACGGUAUCUUACCAGAAAGGGACGGCUAACUACGUG
rnacentral:rRNA from 1 species